ensembl:snoRNA
CGCCUUCAUGCUGCUGCUUCUCUUGGAAACCAGUGAAUGCUAUGUCAAUAAAAGCAUAAACUAAAUACUUUGUAGCUUUCCUGCCACUGAUUGUACUAUCUUGAUUAUGGGAACUGUAUAAAUAACAGUU